CUUGAGUUAUUAACGCCUUUCCAACUGAAAAUGAAGUAUUUUUCCUGAGUCUAAUUUACAAAUUUUAAAACUUUGUUCAUUACUAUGAUUAUAUAUUAUCGAAAUGAAAUACACCAGCACCACAGCUACAUGUGGCUGUACCUCCCACCCCUGACCUUCAGCUCUCUGGUCUGCAAAGGAGACUGGAUUAGAUGCUCUUGAAUUUGACCGCAAAUCCACAAUUCCACAACUGUGAGCAUACUGAACCGGGGUAGAAGCUCGCACCUGUCUGUGAAGAAGACUUCGGUCCGUUCAUUUACUCAAGAAAUUCAACUGGCACCUUUUAGUUGUGAUAGUAAUAUACACAGGCGAAGUUUCAGCCAUACAAAGAACAAGUAAAAAGUGCAGCCACCUUGCCUGCCCCCAUCCUACUCAGCUCUGCCUGAGGAAAGUGACUGGUUCUCACCUUGUCCCCUUCAGCCACCUGACAGAUGAUUUCCCCAGUGGACGGAUUGACCGUGGGAAACGUCUUCUUGCUGACGGCGUCGUGCCACUCAUUAUUUAUGAAGAUCUACAAUGAGAAAGGAGAAAGUUCUCAGGACCAGCUCUCAACCCAGUAAUGGCAAGAGAUAUAAAAGCAAGAACAAAGAAAGAUUAGAUAUGAAUGUGACCUGGAGGUUGAAAGCAUGGGCCUUGGAGACCAUUCAGGCUCUGCCCAGUGGACUUGGCAGUGUUUGCAACAACCCAACACUGAAAUGAGCGCAAGAAGCUUCUUGUGGGGCCAGUUCCAGCAACGGGGAACACUUGAGAAGCCUUGGAAAGAAUAAGCUGAGUGUAGGACUUGGAUAAUCCAGGCGCACAGGUCAAGGAGACAGGACUCCAGAACAUCGGGAUUCCCAGCCGAGCCAAGUCAUAGUCACUCAAACCUGAGGCAACAGACAGAGCCGCCCCGGCUGUCAGUGACCCUGCUUCUCUGAGGCCGGUGGAAGAGGUGCUGAGUGACUCCGGAGCCUGCAGCUGACUCCAGACCCAGCCUGAGAGCUGCCCAGGGGAAACCGCUGCCCUGUCCCCACGCUGCAGGUUGGAUGAUUUGGAAAUACUGGGCUACAAGCUGGGACCAACCCAGAACCAAAGUUCUGGUUCAAACACAGGCAUGGACAGCUCAAGGUUUCUAUUACCUUCUUGGCAAGUCCGGAACUCUGGGAGCAAGGUCGGUAUGUUCAAAUACAGAUUAAAUUAGAAGUCUUAUUUAUUGAAGAGUUGUUCCAGGAAGAUGAGGGGAAGCCUCCUUCUCCAGGUAAGCAUGAAUGACGAUGUGCUACACCAAAGAGGGUAUGGAGUCAGGCAGGGCCUGACCGAGGGGAGAGAAUUCCAUUGCUGUAAGUCUUGCUUCAAGGAGGGAGGAGAUUGAAUAUGAGGUUAAUUGCCAACACUCUGUGCUCUAAAUUUCUGCCUGUCAGUUCUACUAAAUGUUAUGUGCUAAAACAGCAGUACCCAACAGAACUUUCUGCAAUGAUGGAAAUGCUCUCUAUCGCACUGCCUAGUACAACAGCCAUGAGCUGCGAGGCCACUAAGCUCCUGAGAUUCAACUUAUCUGUCACAUUCAACACGGUGUUCCUUCGAGGCCAGCCCAGCGCCUGGUCACAGUAACAGCUCAGUAAGAAUCUGUUUUCUGGCUGAGUGAGGUUUAAGCACAUCAUCUAUCAAUAAUUCACAUCUAUCCUGGGAUAGUGAUCUAUUUUGUUAGGAAACUGGGGAAUCUUUCUUAGAAGUCACCUCCCGGCCCAGAAAAUCACCUCUUGACAUAGGUCAUUCUCAAUGUACUUGGCGAGACCUGCACGGUGCUGUCCAGUAGUAGACACUACCC